CAGACUUUGAUUAUGGCUCAUGAUGAACGCUGGCGGCGUGCCUAACACAUGCAAGUCGAACGAAGCUUGACGGAUGAUUUCUUCGGAAUGAAACCUGAUAUGACUUAGUGGCGGACGGGUGAGUAACACGUGAGCAACCUGCCUUUCAGAGGGGGAUAACGGCUGGAAACGGUCGCUAAUACCGCAUGAUGUGUUCGGAUGGCAUCAUCUGAACAUCAAAGAUUUAUCGCUGAAAGAUGGGCUCGCGUCUGAUUAGAUAGUUGGUGGGGUAACGGCCUACCAAGUCUACGAUCAGUAGCCGGACUGAGAGGUUGAACGGCCACAUUGGGACUGAGAUACGGCCCAGACUCCUACGGGAGGCAGCAGUGGGGAAUAUUGCACAAUGGGGGAAACCCUGAUGCAGCAACGCCGCGUGAAGGAUGACGGUUUUCGGAUUGUAAACUUCUUUUCUUAGUGACGAAGACAGUGACGGUAGCUAAGGAAUAAGCAUCGGCUAACUACGUGCCAGCAGCCGCGGUAAUACGUAGGAUGCAAGCGUUAUCCGGAUUUACUGGGUGUAAAGGGAGCGCAGGCGGGACUGCAAGUUGGAUGUGAAAUACCGUGGCUUAACCACGGAACUGCAUCCAAAACUGUAGUUCUUGAGUGAAGUAGAGGCAAGCGGAAUUCCGAGUGUAGCGGUGAAAUGCGUAGAUAUUCGGAGGAACACCAGUGGCGAAGGCGGCUUGCUGGGCUUUAACUGACGCUGAGGCUCGAAAGUGUGGGGAGCAAACAGGAUUAGAUACCCUGGUAGUCCACACUGUAAACGAUGAUAGCUAGGUGUGGGGGGUCUGACCCCUUCCGUGCCGGAGUUAACGCAAUAAGCUAUCCACCUGGGGAGUACGACCGCAAGGUUGCAACUCAAAUGAAUUGACGG
rnacentral:rRNA from 1 species